rnacentral:rRNA from 1 species
GUGGGAACCAGGUUAAUAUUCCUGGGCCUGCUGGAAGUGACGAAUACCGAUAGUUGUUCGGGCUUACUGGAUUGCCCGGGCAAUGUAGGUGUUCCAGGAAAUAACUCCAGCGUACAGACCGUACCCGAAACCGACACAGGUGGACUGGUAGAGCAUACCAAGGCGCUUGAGAGAACGAUGUUGAAGGAACUAGGCAAAUUGCUCUCGUAACUUCGGAAGAAGAGAGACCUCGCUUUGGGCAACCAUUGCGGGGUGGCACAGACCAGGGGGUAGCAACUGUUUACUAAAAACACAGGACUCUGCGAACUCGUAAGAGGACGUAUAGGGUCUGACGCCUGCCCGGUGCUGGAAGGUUAAGAGGAGAAGUGCAAGCUUUGAAUCGAAGCCCCAGUAAACGGCGGCCGUAACGAUAACGGUCCUAAGGUAGCGAAAUUCCUUGUCGGGUAAGUUCCGACCUGCACGAGGGCGUAAUGACUUCCCCGCUGUCUCCAACAUCGACUCAGUGAAAUUGAACUCUCCGUGAAGAUGCGGAGUACCCGUGGCUAGACGGAAAGACCCCGUGCACCUUUACUACAGCUUUGCAGUGGCAUUAGAGGAUGGAUGUGUAGGAUAGGCGGGAGGCUUUGAAGCGCUGGCGCUAGCCAGCGUGGAGCCAACCUUGAAAUACCGCCCUUCUGUUCUUUGAUGUCUAACCGCGACCCGUUAUCCGGGUCCGGGACCCUGCAUGGCGGGUAGUUUGACUGGGGCGGUCGCCUCCCAAAGAGUAACGGAGGCGCGCGAUGGUAGGCUCAAGCUGGCCGGAAAUCAGCUGUUGAGUGUAAUGGCACAAGCCUGCCUGACUGCGAGAGCGACAGUUCGAGCAGAGACGAAAGUCGGUCAUAGUGAUCCGGUGGUCCCGCGUGGAAGGGCCAUCGCUCAACGAAUAAAAGGUACGCCGGGGAUAACAGGCUGAUGACCCCCAAGAGUCCAUAUCGACGGGGUCGUUUGGCACCUCGAUGUCGGCUCAUCACAUCCUGGGGCUGGAGCAGGUCCCAAGGGUAUGGCUGUUCGCCAUUUAAAGUGAUACGUGAGCUGGGUUUAGAACGUCGUGAGACAGUUCGGUCCCUAUCUACCAUGGGUGUCGGAGAAUUGAGAGGAGCUGUCCCUAGUACGAGAGGACCGGGAUGGACGCGCCUCUGGUGUACCGGUUGUCGCGCCAGCGGCAUCGCCGGGUAGCUAAGUGCGGACGGGAUAACCGCUGAAAGCAUCUAAGCGGGAAGCCUCCCUCAAAACAAGUUCUCCCUUGAGAGCCGUGGAAGACCACCACGUUGAUAGGCCGGGUGUGGAAGCGCAGCAAUGUGUGAAGCUAACCGGUACUAAUCGCUCGAGCGGCUAAGA